rnacentral:rRNA from 1 species
GAUGAACGCUAGCUACAGGCUUAACACAUGCAAGUCGAGGGGAAACGACAUCGAAAGCUUGCUUUUGAUGGGCGUCGACCGGCGCACGGGUGAGUAACGCGUAUCCAACCUGCCCACCACUUGGGGAUAACCUUGCGAAAGUAAGACUAAUACCCAAUGAUAACACUAGAAGACAGCUGAAAGAGAUCAAAGAUUAAUCGGUGAUGGAUGGGGAGGCGUCUGAUUAGCUGGUUGGCGGGGUAACGGCCCACCAAGGCUACGAUCAGUAGGGGUUCUGAGAGGAAGGUCCACCACAUUGGAACUGAGACACGGUCCAAACUCCUACGGGAGGCAGCAGUGAGGAAUAUUGGUCAAUGGGCGAGAGCCUGAACCAGCCAAGUAGCGUGCAGGAUGACGGCCCUAUGGGUUGUAAACUGCUUUUAUAAGGGAAUAAAGUGAGCCUCGUGAGGCUUUUUGCAUGUACCUUAUGAAUAAGGACCGGCUAAUUCCGUGCCAGCCGCCGCCGUAA